GAAAGAUACGUUGGAGAAUAAUUUAGCAUUGGCGAAACAUUUGAAUUCGAGAAAAAUCGAUUAUUUCGGUUUGGGAAUAUAAUGGUAAACUACAUUACGUUAUGUUUUCAAAAGGGUAUGCGGUUUUUGUUUUCCACGAACAAUAUUUUUCGAGACGGUACACAAAUAUUCGAAAAGUAACUUCAUAGAUGUAGGCAAUUUAACACG